rnacentral:rRNA from 1 species
GAUGAACGCUGGCGGCGUGCCUAACACAUGCAAGUCGAGCGAACGAACGAGAAUUGCGCUUUUCUGUAGUUAGCGACGGGUGGGUGAGUCAUACGUGGCUUACCUUUCUAUAAGACUGAGAUAACUUAGGGAAAGCGGAACACAUAACGGGACCAAUCUCUAACCGCAGUGUUCAUGAGAGACAGACGGUCUUGCUGUUACUUAUACUUACAGCCGCGCUGCAUUAGCUAGUUGGUAAGGUAACGGCCUACCAAGGCAAGGAUGCGUCGCCGAACUGAGAGGGGGAUAGGCCACACUGGAACUGAGCCACGGUCCAGACGCCUACGGGAGGCAGCAGUAGGGAAUGUGCGGCAAUGGGCGAAAGCCUUACGGAGCAACGGCGAGUGAGAGACGAAGGUCUUCGGAGCGUAAAACUCUGUUACUAGGGAUGAACAUAUGUGAGAGUAGAUGUAGAGAUCUUGACGGUACCUAAAGAGAAAGCGCCGGCUAACUACGUG